UUCUACGAUUUAGUCAAACACCAGAAUACCAAAUGAUUCGACAGUGUUUUUCUGUUAUCUCUUUCACGAUAAUCUAAGAUAAAAUAGCAGCGCAUUGAAGGAAACAGUUAUUUAGUUAAUUAAAGCAAAGUACAACACCAUCCAUUGCAGUUCGUUUAAAUAGCAGAAUUCCGAAUCACUUGCAAUGUUUUUUUUUUAUCUUUUUCACCGACCGAACGGUAAAUGGCCGCCCGCAAAUAAUUAUAAAGCAAAAUGGAUAUUAUGAUGUCAUAGUUCCCUGGAAUUUGAUUAUAGCUACUAGCGCACUCUUCGUCAUUAUAAUCAUCACGAAAUAUUCGUUGCGUCUAAUCGAGCCUGGAAGUCGAUUCGCGUCAGCAUACAAUAUUGCUAUGAUCGUGACUGGGCUAUCAACGCCCGUGGAACGACAAAAAAAGUAAGAGAGAAAAUUUUCUAUUCUUCUCUUCUCCUCGUAUUCGUAAUGUUGUCAGUGAAAUUCCUGGAAUAUUUGCUGUAUGUUCGUUUUCAACAAAAGCGAUAUCAUGUUUUUGAUACUUGGGAAGACGUAAUUGAUUCGGACAUCCAUAUCAUUAUGGACAAUCAAAGUUAUAGAGCACUUAUAGAAGGUAAAAUGCGUACUGCAGUCACAAAGGUAACAGUCAUGCCAGAAAAUAAUGAAAAUUGUAUAAAAAGGAUGAUUGGCGAGGAUACAUUCAACGCAUACGCAUUUAGCGAUUAUUUUGUUCCUUUGCUUAUUCGCGAAAUCACCGAACAACAUAACGCGGAUGGAGUCAAUUGAGUCAUUUGAAAGAGAGCGUAUUUUCCGUUCCGGAGUUUUACGACGGUGGGACGAAGAUUCCCACAGGACUUGUUUUAAAUCAGAGAGUAAUUCAUGAAGAUGAAAUUUUGGAUAACAAUGAGCUGUCCAUUCUAAUGAAAUUAAUUUAUGUAUGUACUACAGGUUGGCCAUGUAUUGUCAAUUUUUAUUUUUGUGGCAGAAGUUAUGUUGAUAAAAAUAAGAAAACAGAAUACCUUUAUAUAAGGCCUUUUUUAUUACAAUCACGAAUGAAGUGCUUCAUGAGGCAAAUGAUUGAAAUUCUACGUACACGUUUGAACUUUGAAUUUUAUUGUUGUUUGAGUAACGCAAUGUAAUAACUCAAAAAGCUGUGGUUUUCAAAGUUGUUUACACGUAUUUUAUGGAAACAAGUU